rnacentral:tRNA from 1 species
GUGGGUAUAGCUCAAUGGAAGAGCACGUGCUUAGCAUGUAUGACGUCCCGGGUUCAAUCCCCAGUAUCACU